rnacentral:lncRNA from 10 species
CGUCUUUUCUGCACAGAGUGUGCACUAUCAUCGUAACAGCAGAGACGGAGAGCAAGAUCUGAUGGCACUAAGGCUGAACCCAGAAGCUGCAGCAGUGGACGGAUGAUGAUCUGAAGAAAUGAGAUCCCUGAUGGGCUUGGAAGUCAUGGUUCCUGUAACCAUGAUGUCACACCCUCGUCCUGACACCGAGAUGGGCUGGACACAUCUGUCACCCAGGGCAAACAAAAUGCUUGGUCUGCAUCUUUCAGAAGAAAACUAAAAAUCAAGUAAUUUCUUAGAAGUUUGCUUGCGUGUGGCUUAAGUCUUCUUCUCCUGUUGAGGAAGGUGUUGAGUUUGACCAUGACAGCCCCACCCAGUCCUUGGCUCAUCUCACCCAUCAAAGAGGAUCUGGAGAUUCAGAGCUAUGCCGUGGAAGACCUUGUCAGAGCACCAGGCCAUACUGUGCUGCAGGUGGGGUUCAGGUGCCCAGUGACAACCACCGGGGCCGCUCAUCCCUAAACGUCUGUUGAACUUAAAGUUCUACUCAAGACUUUCUACAUUAAAUACCCUUUCAUACAGCAAAAUCAGCCAUGUUCUGAGAUGUGAAACUGCAGCACAAAGUUACUGUGGUCUCCACCUAUAGAAAUGGAAUGUUACUUCAUAAAGCCCCAGGCCAAAAAAGAAACCCCAAAACUCUGAAACGACACCCUUAAAUUUAACCUGAACAUCUGGCCAGCCUCCUCCAUCAUUGAAACUUCUCCUGAGUGUUGGCAUGGAUCCUAUGUUUCUCCAGCCAGGGAGCUUUGCUCCCCAUUCUUGAUGGACCCACUGAGUCCCAAUUUUCUACAUUUUACUUGGGUCAUUCCACCACUUUGGGAUGCUUUUCCUACUCUGUUGUACUUUAAAAAUGUUUCUUCUUUCCUAUUCUCAGCUUCACGCAUUUGUCUUCUUUCUCAAUUCAACUUGCUUAGUUCUCGCUACAUCAAUUCCUAGAGCCAUCCAUCUGCACUUCUGAAUCAUUUAAGUUUUGUUUGGCUACAAGUAAUGGAAACCCACUCUGAGUAACUCAAGCAAGAACUGGAAUUUAUUGGAAGGACAGUGGGAUAUAUCAUAAGAUCCAAAAAGAAUUGAACAAAUAAAAUUUCAGAGGGAAGAAAAAGGGCAGCUCCAGUGACUUCAGCAACAAGACAACAUAAGUCUUUCUAGAGCAUAGCUACUAAUAUUAUUCAGCUGCAAGAGCCCCUCCCCAUGAGAAACUUGAUUGAAAAUUCUGAUUUCCCACAGAGAAGAAUCUGAUCGACUCAGUUUAGCUUUGGUUGCCCAACUGCUCAAUCUUGCAUGAAUUAUUUCCAGCCAAGGGGACAAGGUGUAUUAUAGGGACACACCUGCUUUCUCCAAAGAAAAGAUCUGGGCAUUUCCUGAUCAUUUCCCUGAGAAGGAGGAAUCAUUGUGAGCCAAGAAGAUACCUCAAGUAUAAUGAGCUCAGUUACACUUUUUUGAUAUCUGAGUAUUUGGUAUGUAGUGUGCAUUUUAAAAAACAUGUCUCUCUCCAGGACAAUGUUAACCUCUUCCACGGUGGAGUGGGGCUAUGUGAUUUUGUGCUUAAUUUACCUAGCUGGUGGGCCUCCAGUAGAGGCUGUAGUCGAGCCAGCUGAUACCACAUCAGUUCUCCAAAGGAACAAAAGCUGCCCUUCCUUCCUUAUUGCAAAGUUUGACAAAAAGCAAAACGUGAAGAAUAAAAGCGACUUGCAUUGUCUAACAUCUACCGCAGUGUUUGAGCUGCAGCUGCUCCUCCUCCCCUGAUUGUUUUCAAAUAUUUCUUCAAAAAAGGCAUUAAAGAAAAACACAAGAUAUUGCACAGGGAACCAAAACAAAUCACAAUCUUCAAGGACAAAGCAUUGCAAAAUGGCUUACAUCCCCAAAUGGGAACAGAUAUGGUUGGAAAUUAAAACAAUCUUUUUUAUUUUAAGCGGAAAUGCUAGCAGAUGCCACAAGAAACAUAUGGAACUCGCCACAGACAAAUAGGGAAUGCUUUCUGCGUGUGGAAGUAGAGCAAAGGGAGUGACCACCUCUGACUGUCAGGGGGAACCAUCAGCUCGAACUGUUUGCUAUGGCAGGAGGGAGUUUGCAGAGUCCGGAGUCCUGCCCUCAUGAAAAAGCUUUAACGGUCUUGACUGAGUAAUUUAAGUCAUUCUUGUCAGGGAGUUUCAGAACACUAUGCACAAUUAUAUUUAUUUCACAAUGCAUUGAUUCCAGAUAUCUUUUUAAAUGUGCUUACCUCUGUGUGCGUUGUUACCUGUUCCCUCUUUGAAUCUCUGAAUGAAACAAAAUAAAUAGGAAAAAAUGGAGACAUAGAAGCAUUGUCCACAAGGCAUCUCCCACUCUAGAGGUCUCCCAGCCCCGUGCUAGCUUGUUAAUUUAUUAUCGCUUGUCUGUCAAACAAGGAAGAUAUAAUUUGCCACACAACAUGUUUUCCUAAAGCAAUGUUUUUGUACAAUUUCCUGAUUUCCAAAAAUAUGACCAAUGAUAUUCUGGUUGAGUUUUGUUGUUGUUGUUGUUGUUGUUUUAAUUUCUCUGAAAAUGGCAGCGAUAUAGCAAUCAUUCCCUUCCCCAUGUACCACGUGGAAUAAUUUUACUGUGAGACUCAGAGAAGGCAAUCACAAGCCAUCGUUCCUUAAGUAGUAUUUAUCCUUCCCAAAUAGUUCACUGGGGGGCGAGACAGGAAUAAAAUGCUUUCUAUAUACAAAAGUAUUGUUUCUAAAGAUGAAAAAAGCCUGAAAUCCUGACUGACAUUCAAGUUGGAGGUGCUGUGAAUAUGUGGAAAAAUAGGAUUUUACACAGUGACACCACCAAUAAGCGUUCUGAAAGGCAUGCUUGCAAUGAAAGAGCUCCGUUUGGAACAACCCAGAUUGUGGGCUAAAAUGGUCUCCAUGUGGCAGAGUAUAUUUGUGAAUGAAGUGCCUGUCAAUGAGGAUAAAUCAAUUUUAACAGCUCAUUUAUUGAUGAAACCAAGUCUAGUCUCAGCAGUUAAAGUGCUUUCUUGGAACGAGAACUAGAGGAUUCAUCUGUCUCACCUUAACGGAUGAAAGAAAAGCUUCUCAUAAAAAAUGUUAUGGCUCCUCUGCCACU